rnacentral:rRNA from 1 species
GACGAACGCUGGCGGCGUGCUUAACACUUGCAAGUCGAACGGUAAGGCCCUUCGGGGUACACGAGUGGCGAACGGGUGAGUAACACGUGGGUGAUCUGCCCUGCACUUCGGGAUAAGCCUGGGAAACUGGGUCUAAUACCGGAUAGGACCACUGCCUGCAUGGGUGGUGGUGGAAAGCUUUUGCGGUGUGGGAUGGGCCCGCGGCCUAUCAGCUUGUUGGUGGGGUGAUGGCCUACCAAGGCGACGACGGGUAGCCGGCCUGAGAGGGUGACCGGCCACACUGGGACUGAGAUACGGCCCAGACUCCUACGGGAGGCAGCAGUGGGGAAUAUUGCACAAUGGGUGCAAGCCUGAUGCAGCGACGCCGCGUGAGGGAUGACGGCCUUCGGGUUGUAAACCUCUUUCAGCACCGACGAAGCGCAAGUGACGGUAGGUGCAGAAGAAGGACCGGCCAACUACGUGCCAGCCGCCGCGGUAA